rnacentral:rRNA from 1 species
AUGGAUGGGGCCGCCCACAUCGCUAGCGACUCCUCGGAGGACGACAGGGCCUCCUCCUCCGCGUCCUCUACCGGUUCGGCCUCCUGGCGCUCCCGGCCGCACAAGUGGAUUCACCUGCGGCGGCGCCGGCGCCGGCGCCCGUUGUCCGCUCGGAGAGGAGAGGGCGGUGAAGCCAACGGCAAGGGCGACGGUGACGACGUGCAGGACCUCGCGCUGCCGCUGGGGAGAUGUCCUUCGCGGCGGUUCUCGCCCAGGUUAUCAUAUGACAGAAUGUCUGGGGUGAAAGCUAAGCUACUUCCAAUGGUCCCAAAUGAGAAGGCAAGAAGGUAUCAGCUGUAUGAGAAGACCCCCGCACAUGCCCAUUCCAUUCUCUAUGAAGUCAAAAGUUUCCCACUGAAUAUAUUUGGUACUAAAAUGGUCGUUAUGUCAGCACGACGAUCUUGUGCCUAUUGUUGGCUCUUAAUUCUUUAG